rnacentral:rRNA from 1 species
GACGAACGCGGCGGCGUGCCUAAUACAUGCAAGUAGAACGCUGAAGGAGGAGCUUGCUUCUCUGGAUGAGUUGCGAACGGGUGAGUAACGCGUAGGUAACCUGCCUGGUAGCGGGGGAUAACUAUUGGAAACGAUAGCUAAUACCGCAUAAUAGCAGUUAUUGCAUGAUAACUGUUUGAAAGGUGCAAUUGCACCACUACCAGAUGGACCUGCGUUGUAUUAGCUAGUUGGUGGGGUAACGGCUCACCAAGGCGACGAUACAUAGCCGACCUGAGAGGGUGAUCGGCCACACUGGGACUGAGACACGGCCCAGACUCCUACGGGAGGCAGCAGUAGGGAAUCUUCGGCAAUGGACGAAAGUCUGACCGAGCAACGCCGCGUGAGUGAAGAAGGUUUUCGGAUCGUAAAGCUCUGUUGUAAGUCAAGAACGUGUGUGAGAGUGGAAAGUUCACACAGUGACGGAGCUACCAGAAA